AAGUGAUUAAUAAUUAAAUCGGUGUCUAAAAACAUCAACCUUUAGCUUCAGCUUGCUGUAAGCGAUAGGUCAGCAGCUUUAAAGCUCGGUGAUUGGAUGCUUUAAUCGCAGUGCACCUUGGGAGUCGUAGUAAACGUGAUUCAUGUCGGGACUCUGGAACAUCCUUAACUGACUCUUGCCAGACCCAGAAUGACAAAGCCCAAAACAAGGCCGUGCCCCUCCUGUCAGGUCCCAAAUUCCCUUGUGAGGAAGACCUGUGUCCAGUGUGUGAGCACUCUUAAAAUUAAUGAAGAAUUUCAAAAAAAAAAAAAGCAAAGCUGGAGGACAGUGAGUGGGCAUCAUCCGUCAAAAAAAACAGGAACUCCAGCAGGAUCAUCAAGUCGGCCCAGCUAUCUGUUUUAAAACUAAAUGCCCUUGGACACUCACUGCCCCCUUUUAUUUACUGGGCAUCAGGGCCGCAAUGGGGAGAUCUACGGGGACAUGUUCCACCACAUCUCCCAAACUGAUGGGGUUGUCCAGGACAUCAUCAAAAAAAUGAAAAAACUUUAUGAGCACCUCCUGAAAAAGUUGUUUGCUCCACAAGCAGCUGGGACACCGGCUGGUCCUGUGCCCCUGGUGGACAACUGUCCACCUGCCCCCCCUAUGGACAACCAGUCCAGAGCACAAGCAGGACCAGAAGAGGAAGAAGAAUUAGUUGUUCUUCACCUUCUACCUGUCAUUUCCUCCUCUACUCAGCUUCUUCCUUCAUCCCCCUUCUCCUCUCAGCCUCCUCCUCCUCCUUCCAUCUCUCAGCCUCCUCCAUCCUCCUUCUCCUCUCAGUCUCCUCCUCCUCCUUCCUUCUCUCA